rnacentral:rRNA from 1 species
UACAGAGGGUGCAAGCGUUGCUCGGAAUCAUUGGGCGUAAAGGGCAAGUAGGUGGUCUCAUUUGUCUAGGGUGAAAUCCUUGAGCUUAACUCAAGAAGUGCCCUAGAAACGGUGAGACUCGAGUACUGGAGAGGGUCGUGGAAUUCCCAGUGUAGCGGUGAAAUGCGUAGAGAUCGGGAGGAACACCAGAGGCGAAGGCGGCGACCUGGACAAUUGCUGACGCUCAGGCACGAAAGCGUGGGGAGCAAAAGGG